UACGAAGGGGGCUAGCGUUGUUCGGAAUUACUGGGCGUAAAGCGCACGUAGGCGGAUCGAUCAGUCAGGGGUGAAAUCCCAGGGCUCAACCCUGGAACUGCCUUUGAUACUGUCGAUCUGGAGUAUGGAAGAGGUGAGUGGAAUUCCGAGUGUAGAGGUGAAAUUCGUAGAUAUUCGGAGGAACACCAGUGGCGAAGGCGGCUCACUGGUCCAUUACUGACGCUGAGGCGCGAAAGCGUGGGGAGCAAACGGG
rnacentral:rRNA from 1 species